GUCGAACAGACUUAAAAUUUAAGCUUCUACACCUAAAUUAAAUUUUAAUCCAACAUCGAGGUAGCAAUCUUCUUUUUUGAUAAGAACUCUAAAAGAAAUUACUCUGUUAUCCCCAAGGUAACUUUAUUUAAAAUUAGAAAAAUAGAUUUUUUAUUCAUAAAUCAAUGAUUUAAAUUAAAAAAGUUAAUUAAAUUUUUUAGUCACCCCAACUAAUUUUUCUCAAAUUAAAAUAAUUCUAAAUAAAAAGAAAAAAUAAAACUCUAUGGGGUCUUCUCGUCUUUUAUAGUUAUUUAAGCUUUUUAACUUAAAAAUUAAAUUCAUAAAAAAUUAAAUAGAGACAGAAAUUUUCUCGUCAAAUCAUUCAUACAAGUUUUCAAUUAAAAAACUAAUUAUCACGCUACCUUUGCACAGUCAAAAUACUGCGGCUAUUUAAAUUCUCAUUGAGCAGAUUAGACCUUAAAUUAAUAUCAAAAGGACAUGUUUUUGUUAAACAGGCGAAAAAUUAUAUUGCCGAAUUCCUUUACUUAACCUAAAAUAAUAUUAACAAAAUAAAUAAUUAUAUUACUAAUUUAAUCAUAAUUACAAAUAAUAUUAGAAUUAAAUAAUUAAUUUAAUAUAAAAUUUAAAUUAAAAAUAAAUCUUAAAUUUUUAUACAUAACUAUUAAAUUAUAAAUGAUUAACAAUUAAAAUUAUACAAAAUAUAAAAUACUAUUUUUAUUAUAAAUUUCUAAUCAAAAGCUUAUCCCAUUGAAUAUUUAAUAUUAAAACUUAAAAAUUAAUAAAUAAAAUUUAAAAAAUAAUAUUAAGAAUUAAAUUCUUUUCUUAAAAAACUAGGUAUCACUAAAAUCGAAUUGCAUUUCACUUCAAAUUAAUUUAUUAUAAAAAUUUUUUAUACGAUUAAAUAAAUAACUAAUUAACUCUUUUAGAUUCGAGAAAAAUAAAUAAUUAACUUAAAAUUAAUCAACCCUGAUGCACAAGG
rnacentral:rRNA from 1 species